rnacentral:rRNA from 1 species
UUCCGGUUGAUCCCGCCGGACCUGACUGCUAUCGGAUUGGUACUAAGCCAUGCGAGUCGUUGUAGCAAUACAAGGCGGACGGCUCAGUAACACGUAGUCAACCUAACCUAUGGACGUGGAUAACCUCGGGAAACUGAGAAUAAACCGCGAUAGAUCAUAAUGCCUGGAAUGGCUUAUGGUUCAAAUAAUUUAUUGCCGUAGGAUGGGACUGCGGCCUAUCAGCUUGUUGGUGAGGUAAUGGCCCACCAAGGCUAUAACAGGUACGGGCUCUGAGAGGAGAAGCCCGGAGAUGGGUACUGAGACACGGACCCAGGCCCUAUGGGGCGCAGCAGGCGAGAAACCUUAGCAAUGUGCGAAAGCACGACUAGGUUAAUCCGAGUGAUUUCUGUUGAAGAAAUCUUUUGUCAGUCGUAAAACCACAGACGAAUAAGGGGUGGGCAAGUCUGGUGUCAGCCGCCGCGGUAAUACCAGCACCUCGAGUGGUCAGGAGGUUUAUUGGGCCUAAAGCAUCCGUAGCCGGCUAUGCAAGUCUCCGGUUAAAUCCAACUGCUCAACAGAUGGGCCGCCGGAGAUACUACACAGCUAGGGAGCGGGAGAGGUAGACGGUAUUCUGUGGGUAAGGGGGUAAAAUCCACUGAUCCAUAGAGGACCACCAGUGGCGAAGGCGGUCUACCAGAACGCGUUCGACGGUGAGGGAUGAAAGCUGGGGGAGCAAACCGGAUUAGAUACCCGGGUAGUCCCAGCUGUAAACGAUGCAAACUCGGUGAUGCAUUGACUUAUGGUCAAUGCAGUGCCGCAGGGAAGCCGUUAAGUUUGCCGCCUGGGAAGUACGGACGCAAGUCUGAAACUUAAAGGAAUUGGCGGGGGAGCACCACAAGGGGUGAAGCCUGCGGUUCAAUUGGAGUCAACGCCAGGAAUCUUACCUAAUAUGGAAUCCCUAGUAACCGCGCGUCACAACCGCGCAGUGAAUACGUCCCUGCUCCUUGCACACACCGGGGAGACAGCAGAAUGAAGGUCAAGCUGAAGACUUUACCAGACAAGCUGAGAGGAGGUGCAUGGCCGUCGCCAGCUCGUGCCGUGAGGUGUCCUGUUAAGUCAGGUAACGAGCGAGAUCCCUGCCCUUAGUUGCUACAGUUACUCUCAGGAGUAGCUGGGCUAACUAGGGGGACCGCCACUGCUGAAGUGGAGGAAGGAGGGGGCCACGGCAGGUCAGUAUGCCCCGAAACCCUAGGGCUACACGCGGGCUGCAAUGGUAGUGACAACGGGUUCCGAACUCGAAAGAGAGAGGCAAUCCCUAAACGCUACCACAGUUAUGAUUGAGGGCUGCAACUCGCCCUCAUGGC